UGACCCUGUGCGGGAGAGUGCCCCGGAGCUCGACACCGGGGACGCCGAAGGAGCAAAUCCUCCCCGGAAUCUCUCAGGCCCCUGUACCGCGCGGGUGAG
rfam:Streptomyces sp. Tu6071 chromosome, whole genome shotgun sequence.